rnacentral:rRNA from 1 species
UGAGGAACAAGACCUUCGGCGGGGGAUAGCCGGCCCAACGGCCGGGUAAUACCGCGUACGACCACAUGGGGACAUCCCUGAGUGGUGAAAGCAGCAAUGCGCCGAUGGAGUGCCUCGCGGCCUAUCAGCUAGUUGGUGAGGUCAUGGCUCACCAAGGCGACGGACGGGUAGCCGGCCUGAGAGGGCGACCGGCCACACGUGGGGACUGGAGACACCGGCCCAGACUCCGUACGGGAGCAG